CCCAACCCUCGGCUGUCUCAAACGGUUUGCUACUGUUGCCAAAACAACCCUCCACCAAUGCUGACAACAACAUUCCUGCACAGCGUUCAAGGCUCAAGGCUGAGUCUGCGCAGCUCCACAUCUCAAGCUUUUCACCACACUAUCCCCGUCGCGUUUGGCACUUGGAUGCGUGGAAGCGGGAUGGCAAUAUUGGUUAUGUUGCCAGAGCAUAAUCUGGACCAGGGCAUCCACUGGCUAGCCAGACAAGAAGGGCACAUGCUGAUGGCGUUAGUUUCACUUCGUGCGUUGUCCUGCUGAGGCCAAGCCAGCGGCGCAGCGUUAGUGCCACGUAACGUGUAAUGUGUAUAGCGAUUUAAGCUGCGUCUAUAUAUCUACAAUCUGUGUACCUUAUUUGUGAUAUCAUUACCC